AUUGAACGCUGUCGGCAGGCUUAACACAUGCAAGUCGAGCGAGCGGCGGACGGGUGAGUAAUGUCUGGGAAACUGCCUGAUGGAGGGGGAUAACUACUGGCAACUGUAGCUAAUACCGCAUACCAUUAUAUGUGCCCAGUUGGGAUUAGCUAGUAGGUGGGGUAAUGGCUCACCUAGGCGACGAUCCCUAGCUGGUCUGAGAGGAUUACCAGCCACACUGGAACUGAGACACGGUCCAGACUACUACGGGAGGCAGCAGUGGGGAAUAUUGAACAAUGGGCGCAAGACUGAUGCAGCCAGGCCGCGUGUGUGAAGAAGGCCUUCGGGUUGUAAAGCACUUUCAGCGAGGAGGCGUUACUCGCAGAAGAAGCACCGGCUAACUCCGUGCCAGCAGCCGCGGUAAUUC
rnacentral:rRNA from 1 species